rnacentral:lncRNA from 1 species
UUUGUUUUAUUUUUUGGAGAGUGCUUAUUUUUAAUUUUAUUCUUUUAAAACUAAGGCACAUUUGACAAAAAAACGCAUAUAUUGAUGGCAUAUGAGGUGAUGUAUUGAUAUAGGUAUACGUUGUAAAAUGAUACAAUCAAGCUAAUUAACAGAUCCAUCACCUCACAUACUUAUUUUUUGUUGUGAAUAGAGUUGAGAUCUAAUAUCUUAACAAUUUCCAAGUAUUCAAUACAUUAUUAUCAACUAUGGUUACUAUCCUACAACAGAUAUCCAAACUUAUCCAAUUUGUGUUUAUCAGAUCACUUGGGUCUCCAUGUAGAGAAUGCACUGAAGAGGCCAAGGAUGUAAGUCCAAAGCCCAGGGAGGAGACCACUGGAGUAGCUCAGACAUCAGUCCUUGUCAGUACAUAUCAACUAUCCUGAUGUUAUAAAGUCAUACUCUCAGAACCAUAUUUUGACAUGUUAAUAACCAUCCACUUAACAAAGAGUCUGACUAAAUUUAUUUAUAAGGGAACCCCAUUUUAUGCUGUCUUGGCAAGACAAAGAAAAUCCAAGUUGUGCAUGGCAGUAAAGGGGAGCCUGGAAGCAUCUCUGGCAGUUCCUUUCUUUCCCAAUUCUGAAGUGGGAAAAAGUGAGAAAGAAGAGAAAGUGGAAGUAAUGAUGAAACAAAUGUGCAAAGACUGACCCUUACUGAUGUGCAUCAAUGAAAGGAGGACAAA